rnacentral:rRNA from 1 species
CCUACGGGUGGCAGCAGUGAGGAAUAUUGGUCAAUGAGCGCAAGCCUGAACCAGCCAAGUAGCGUGAAGGAUGACUGCCCUACGGGUUGUAAACUUCUUUUGUAAAGGAAUAAAGUGAGGCACGUGUGCCUUUUUGUAUGUACUUUAUGAAUAAGGAUCGGCUAACUCCGUGCCAGCAGCCGCGGUAAUACGGAGGAUCCGAGAGUUAUCCGGAUUUAUUGGGUUUAAAGGGAGCGUAGAUGGGUUGUUAAGUCAGGUGUGAAAGUUUCCGGCUCAACCGUAAAAUUGCAAUUGAUACUGGCAGCCUUGAGUACAGUGGAGGUAGGCGGAAUUCGGGGUGUAGCGGUGAAAUGCGUAGAUAUCACGAAGAACGCCGAUUGCGAAGGCAGCCUACUAAACUGCCACUGACAUUGAUGCUCGAAAGUGUGGGUAGCAAACAGGAUUAGAUACCCCAGUAGUC